rnacentral:rRNA from 1 species
UGAAAUCUCGGGGCUCAACCUCGAAACUGCGUCUGAAACUGGAGGUCUAGAAUCUUGGAGAGGGAAGGGGAAUUUCUCAUGUAGGGGUAAAAUCCGUAGAUAUGAGAAGGAACACCAGGGGCGAAGGCGCCUUCCUGGACAAGUAUUGACGCUGAGGCGCGAAAGCGUGGGGAUCAAACAGGAUUAGAUACCCUGGUAGUCCACGCUGUAAACGAUGAAUACUAGAUAUUGGGGGAUUUGACCCCUUCAGUGUCGUAGCUAACGCGUUAAG